UUUCGGACAACGUUGUCCGAGAGAACGGGACGUGUGUGUGCUCAGUUGGAAGGUAUCGUUCGUCGCGAAGAGACUACGCGGGCUGCGCAUUCGGGGGCACGCUCCAUUACGAUAGGCUAAACAACGCGUACCGCGAGAACGGGAUUCACGCGAGAUAUAGGUACCUACUUGGUGAUACAUACCCAACAAAGAGGGAGGCUUUGAGAAGCCGCUUCAGCGAUCGCUGUUGGUUAAGGCCAUAGUCCACGAGAGUAUAUUGGCCUGGGUUCCGUUGCCGCGUGUAUUUGUGCGAUCCGCAGUCGCAGUGAACCGUAGACGGAAAUGGACUGAGGAGCUUUUUCGCGUUCGUCGCUUGCUGGUGGUUGGAAUUUCAUCACUUUUUGCUAAGCCGUCUAUCUUAGCAGCCUAAGUCGCUAACUUUAGGUUGAGGUGCGUGAUGUAGAACCCAGAUGAUAGCGCGGUUUCUAGUUCUCGCCGAUUAGCAGGAUCAGAUAAGUGAACGUGAACGUGAAAUUUGGGUCGGAAGAGCAAAUGAAAUUCAAGAAGGCAAAUAUAUACGUACCAAUCGAGAGAAUACACAGGUGCAUGAAUGUGUGUAGCAGCGUGGUCUGCUGUGUGCUGUGAAACGUCGACAACGAA